CCUCUCUUGGUCAUUUAGAGGAAGUAAAAGUCGUAACAAGGUCUCCGUUGGUGAACCAGCGGAGGGAUCAUUACCGAGUUUACAACUCCCAAACCCCUGUGAACAUACCUUAUGUUGCCUCGGCGGAUCAGCCCGCGCCCCGUAAAAAGGGACGGCCCGCCGCAGGAACCCUAAACUCUGUUUUUAGUGGAACUUCUGAGUAUAAAAAACAAAUAAAUCAAAACUUUCAACAACGGAUCUCUUGGUUCUGGCAUCGAUGAAGAACGCAGCAAAAUGCGAUAAGUAAUGUGAAUUGCAGAAUUCAGUGAAUCAUCGAAUCUUUGAACGCACAUUGCGCCCGCCAGUAUUCUGGCGGGCAUGCCUGUUCGAGCGUCAUUUCAACCCUCAAGCCCAGCUUGGUGUUGGGAGCUGCAGUCCUGCUGCACUCCCCAAAUACAUUGGCGGUCACGUCGAGCUUCCAUAGGGUAGUAAUUUACAUAUCGUUACUGGUAAUCGUCGCGGCCACGCCGUUAAACCCCAACUUCUGAAUGUUGACCUCGGAUCAGGUAGGAAUACCCGCUGAACUUAAGCAUAUCAAUAAGCGGAGGAA
rnacentral:sRNA from 1 species